UUCCUACGGGACGCAGCAGUGGGGAAUAUUGCACAAUGGGGGAAACCCUGAUGCAGCAACGCCGCGUGAAGGAAGACGGUUUUCGGAUUGUAAACUUCUGUUCUUAGUGAAGAAGAAUGACGGUAGCUAAGGAGCAAGCCACGGCUAACUACGUGCCAGCAGCCGCGGUAAUACGUAGGUGGCAAGCGUUGUCCGGAAUUACUGGGUGUAAAGGGAGCGCAGGCGGCACGGCAAGCCUGAUGUGAAAGCCCGCGGCCCAACCGCGGGACUGCAUUGGGAACUACCGGGCUGGAGUGCCGGAGAGG
rnacentral:rRNA from 1 species